AUUGAACGCUGGCGGCAGGCCUAACACAUGCAAGUCGAACGAGUGGCGGACGGGUGAGUAAUGUCUGGGUAACUGCCCGAUGGAGGGGGAUAACUACUGGAAACGGUAGCUAAUACCGCAUACCAUCGGAUGUGCCCAGAUGGGAUUAGCUUGUAGGUGAGGUAACGGCUCACCUAGGCGACGAUCCCUAGCUGGUCUGAGAGGAUGACCAGACACAAUGGAAGGGAGACACGGUCCAGAGUCCGACGGUAGGCAGCAGUGGGGAAUAUUGCACAAUGGGCGGAAGGCUGAUGCAGCCAAGCCGCGUGGAUGAAGAAGGCCUGCGGGUUGGGAAGUACUUUCAGCGGGGAGGCGUUACCCGCAGAAGAAGCACCGGCUAACUCCGUGCCAGCAGCCGCGGUAAUUC
rnacentral:rRNA from 1 species